rnacentral:rRNA from 1 species
UACGUAGGUUGCGAGCGUUGUCCGGAUUUACUGGGCGUAAAGCGCGCGCAGGCGGUUCCGAAAGUCCAUGGUGAAAGCUCCCGGCUCAACUGGGAGAGGCCCGUGGAAACUUCGGGACUUGAAGGCGGGAGAGGCAAAUGGAAUUCCCGGUGUAGCGGUAAAAUGCGUAGAUACCGGGAGGAACACCAGUGGCGAAGGCGAUUUGCUGGCCCGCUCUUGACGCUCAGGCGCGAAAGCUAGGGUAGCGACCGGG